AGAGUUUCGAUCCUGGCGUCAGGAGUGAACGCUGCGGCGUGCCUAACACAUGCAAGUCGAACGGAGCUAUUCAGGAAACUUCCUUCGGGGAGCGGAAUCGUUUAGCUUAGUGGCGGACGGGUGAGUAACGCGUGAGCAAUCUGCCUUUGGAUGGGGGAUAACAGCCGGAAACGGCUGCUAAUACCGCAUAAUGCAACGGGAUCGCAUGGUCCUGCUGCCAAAGAUUUAUUGUCCAAAGAUGAGCUCGCGUCUGAUUAGCCAGUUGGCGGGUAACGGCCCACCAAAGCGACGAUCAGUAGCCGGACUGAGAGGUUGAACGGCCACAUUGGGACUGAGACACGGCCCAGACUCCUACGGGAGGCAGCAGUGGGGAAUAUUGCGCAAUGGGGGAACCUUGACGCAGCAACGCCGCGUGAUUGAAGAAGGCCUUCGGGUUGUAAAGAUCUUUAAUCGGGGACGAAACAUGACGGUACCCGAGGAAUAAGCUCCGGCUAACUACGUG
rnacentral:rRNA from 1 species